rnacentral:rRNA from 1 species
CGUGUCGUGAGAUGUUGGGUUAAGUCCCGCAACGAGCGCAACCCUUGUCGUUAAUUGCCAUCAUUUAGUUGGGCACUUUAACGAGACUGCCGGUGACAAACCGGAGGAAGGUGGGGAUGACGUCAAGUCCUCAUGGCCCUUAUGGGUAGGGCUUCACACGUCAUACAAUGGCGCAUACAGAGGGUUGCGAAGCCGCGAGGUGAAGCCAAUCCCAGAAAGUGCGUCGUAGUCCGGAUUGCAGUCUGCAACUCGACUGCAUGAAGUCGGAAUCGCUAGUAAUCGCGGAUCAGCAUGUCGCGGUGAAUACGUUCCCGGGUCUU